GCUCGGUUGCUGGAUGAAGUUGCUCAGUUCGCGCAUAACAAGGUCGAUUUGGAUUUAGGUUGCCUCCAAAUUUUCUUGUUUUUUACCAUUCUCUGCUUCGAAUUACUAAAUCACUUCAUUUUUUUUUGGAAAUUUUAUUGGUGGUGGAGUUAAUUACUGAGAUAAAGUUGUGGGCUUUGUCUUUGUGUUUAUUUUGGAUUGGAGAUUCCCUUCUUCCCAUUCCUCUGUAAGCCCCUUUUUACUUCACUGUCACUAUUAUGCUGCUCAAUAUUCAGUCAAUGAAGAAUGUAAUUAAUUUAGCUCCCCUGAUUUUCUUCUUUAAUUUAUCUUUUGUUUGUUUUAAUUGGAUAAUCUCACGAAGUGAACAAGAAGGAACUGACAACUGGGAUUUUUUAGCAAGUAAUAAUUCUUAUUUCCUUACAAUGUUUUAGUUUUAGUUUACCUACUUCCCUUCAAAUAUGACCUUACAGAAUUCACAAUUCUAUUCUCAAUAUAACGUUAUGUGCUGAAAAUAGAAUUCCCAAAUCUGAUAUCAUUCUCAUUCUAAUUGCAGAGGUAUUCAUUAAUCAAUGUUUCAUCUUAAUAGUAAACAUUUUAAAUUUCAUUGUAUUUAAUUGCAUGUCUAAAAGAGCUUUUAUUCCUUUGGGCAAGGAUUUAGAUCAGAAGCCUGAGAACAGCUUACCAAAAGAUAUUCAUGCCUGCUGAUGAAAAUUUCAGGGGUUUUGAAGAACGUUUUUCUAAGGAAAAUUUAUGAAUUAGGGCUAUGCUCCAAUCUAUUUAAGACUUGAAGAUUUAGAAGUUUCCUUGCUUUGUCUUCGAAUUAAGGUAUUUUGUUAUUAAUUUGAUUGCAUUGUAUUUCUUGAUUUGAAUGAAAUGGAUGCAUCUGGUCCUGCAAUUAAACAUGAAUUCCAUGGAGUCAAGUAAACUUAAUCACAAUUGAUAAUUUUGAUUAAUUUUUUUUAAGUUUUGACUGAUUAGGACCGUUUCAAUAGACCUAUUGCAAGUGCUAGAGAUACUUGGUUUGAUGUGCUUGAACGCUAGUCCAACGACUACGAAACACUCAAGAGGCUUUAUUAAUAGUGACUUUAGACCACAAGAGGAAGGCUUGAUACAACGCUGUUCAAGUUGGGUUACUGGUGAACGCCUAAGCUUUUUUACUUUAAUGGACAUCAAUGCUUUUUGGGUCGUUAAUGUUUGUUUUCCGUCCAUUUUCCUUGCUGCUUUUGUAUUUAGGAUUUUAAGCUCAAUCGUGAAAUUGAGUGUAGGCCUUUUUUAUUGUACAUAAGUUCUUAACGUGGAGUCAAUACAAAUCUUCCCUGUACAUAUUCUACUGUUU